rnacentral:rRNA from 1 species
CCUACGGGUGGCAGCAGUGAGGAAUAUUGGUCAAUGGGCGCGAGCCUGAACCAGCCAAGUAGCGUGAAGGAUGACUGCCCUACGGGUUGUAAACUUCUUUUAUAAAGGAAUAAAGUGAGGCACGUGUGCCUUUUUGUAUGUACUUUAUGAAUAAGGGUAGGCUAACUACGUGCCAGCAGCCGCGGUAAUACGGAGGAUCCGAGCGUUAUCCGGAUUUAUUCGGUUUAAAGGGAGCGUAGAUGGGUUGUUAAGUCAGUUGUAAAAGUUUGCGGCUCAACCGUAAAAUUGCAAUUGAUACUGGCAGUCUUGAGUACAGUUGAGGUAGGCGGAAUUCGUGGUGUAGCGGUGAAAUGCUUAGAUAUCACGAAGAACUCCGAUUGCGAAGGCAGCUUACUAAACUGCCACUGACAUUGAUGCUCGAAAGUGUGGGUAUCAAACAGGAUUAGAUACCCCGGUAGUC